rnacentral:rRNA from 2 species
GGUCGACGAUUGCAGAGUUCUCGGAGUCACGAAGAGUUUGAUCCUGGCUCAGGACGAACGCUGGCGGCGUGCCUAAUACAUGCAAGUCGAACGAACUCUGGUAUUGAUUGGUGCUUGCAUCAUGAUUUACAUUUGAGUGAGUGGCGAACUGGUGAGUAACACGUGGGAAACCUGCCCAGAAGCGGGGGAUAACACCUGGAAACAGAUGCUAAUACCGCAUAACAACUUGGACCGCAUGGUCCGAGCUUGAAAGAUGGCUUCGGCUAUCACUUUUGGAUGGUCCCGCGGCGUAUUAGCUAGAUGGUGGGGUAAUGGCUCACCAUGGCAAUGAUACGUAGCCGACCUGAGAGGGUAAUCGGCCACAUUGGGACUGAGACACGGCCCAAACUCCUACGGGAGGCAGCAGUAGGGAAUCUUCCACAAUGGACGAAAGUCUGAUGGAGCAACGCCGCGUGAGUGAAGAAGGGUUUCGGCUCGUAAAACUCUGUUGUUAAAGAAGAACAUAUCUGAGAGUAACUGUUCAGGUAUUGACGGUAUUUAACCAGAAAGCCACGGCUAACUACGUGCCAGCAGCCGCGGUAAUACGUAGGUGGCAAGCGUUGUCCGGAUUUAUUGGGCGUAAAGCGAGCGCAGGCGGUUUUUUAAGUCUGAUGUGAAAGCCUUCGGCUCAACCGAAGAAGUGCAUCGGAAACUGGGAAACUUGAGUGCAGAAGAGGACAGUGGAACUCCAUGUGUAGCGGUGAAAUGCGUAGAUAUAUGGAAGAACACCAGUGGCGAAGGCGGCUGUCUGGUCUGUAACUGACGCUGAGGCUCGAAAGUAUGGGUAGCAAACAGGAUUAGAUACCCUGGUAGUCCAUACCGUAAACGAUGAAUGCUAAGUGUUGGAGGGUUUCCGCCCUUCAGUGCUGCAGCUAACGCAUUAAGCAUUCCGCCUGGGGAGUACGGCCGCAAGGCUGAAACUCAAAGGAAUUGACGGGGGCCCGCACAAGCGGUGGAGCAUGUGGUUUAAUUCGAAGCUACGCGAAGAACCUUACCAGGUCUUGACAUACUAUGCAAAUCUAAGAGAUUAGACGUUCCCUUCGGGGACAUGGAUACAGGUGGUGCAUGGUUGUCGUCAGCUCGUGUCGUGAGAUGUUGGGUUAAGUCCCGCAACGAGCGCAACCCUUAUUAUCAGUUGCCAGCAUUAAGUUGGGCACUCUGGUGAGACUGCCGGUGACAAACCGGAGGAAGGUGGGGAUGACGUCAAAUCAUCAUGCCCCUUAUAACCUGGGCUACACACGUGCUACAAUGGAUGGUACAACGAGUUGCGAACUCGCGAGAGUAAGCUAAUCUCUUAAAGCCAUUCUCAGUUCGGAUUGUAGGCUGCAACUCGCCUACAUGAAGUCGGAAUCGCUAGUAAUCGCGGAUCAGCAUGCCGCGGUGAAUACGUUCCCGGGCCUUGUACACACCGCCCGUCACACCAUGAGAGUUUGUAACACCCAAAGUCGGUGGGGUAACCUUUUAGGAACCAGCCGCCUAAGGUGGGACAGAUGAUUAGGGUGAAGUCGUAACAAGGUAGCCGUAGUCCUGUGUGAAGUGAUCCGC